CGCGGCCUAUCAGCUUGUUGGUGGGGUAAUGGCCCACCAAGGCUUCGACGGGUAGCCGGCCUGAGAGGGUGACCGGCCACACUGGGACUGAGACACGGCCCAGACUCCUACGGGAGGCAGCAGUGGGGAAUAUUGGACAAUGGGCGAAAGCCUGAUCCAGCAACGCCGCGUGAGGGAUGACGGCCUUCGGGUUGUAAACCUCUUUCAGCAGGGACGAAGCGAAAGUGACGGUACCUGCAGAAGAAGCACCGGCCAACUACGUGCCAGCAGCCGCGGUAAUACGUAGGGUGCAAGCGUUGUCCGGAAUUAUUGGGCGUAAAGGGCUCGUAGGCGGUCUGUCGCGUCGGGAGUGAAAACUCAGGGCUUAACCCUGAGCCUGCUUCCGAUACGGGCAGACUAGAGGUAUGCAGGGGAGAAUGGAAUUCCUGGUGUAGCGGUGAAAUGCGCAGAUAUCAGGAGGAACACCGGUGGCGAAGGCGGUUCUCUGGGCAUUACCUGACGCUGAGGAGCGAAAGUGUGGGGAGCGAACAGGAUUAGAUACCCUGGUAGUCCACACCGUAAACGUUGGGCGUUAGGUGUGGGACUCAUUCCACGAGUUCCGUGCCGCAGCUAACGCAUUAAGCGCCCCGCCUGGGGAGUACGGA
rnacentral:rRNA from 1 species